CGGGGCGUAGCGCAGCCCGGUAGCGCACCUGAAUGGGGUUCAGGAGGUCCUCGGUUCAAAUCCGAGCGCCCCGACCA
rnacentral:tRNA from 1 species